CCCGCUGCCCCACCUGCCAGGGUGAAGCCACCCCAUUCCCUCAGUGGCCUUUGCCUUCCCUCCAGCCAUAGAAGGGUGGGAGCUGAGAUGCAGCUCAGCCUUCCCAGGUCUCUGGAGAGAGCAAUGCUUGCUCCCCAAGCCAACCCCAAACACUUAACAGUUUGCCGACCCACACCUACUUUCUCCUACAGGGCUGCAUAGGAGCAGUGACCGGCUACGAGGACUUUUAUUCCUGUCGCCCAGCCAGUCUUUCAGAAUUUCACCAUGGAUGAACUGGCUAAUGCAAACACACAUUUUGCCCUUGAUCUGUUCCAAAAGUUCAAUGAAUCCAACCCAACAGGCAACAUCUUCUUUUCACCCUUUAGCAUAUCUAUUGCCCUAGCUAUGAUUUUCUUGGGGACCAAGGGAAAAACAGCAGCACAGCUCUCAAAGACAUUUCACUUUGAUGAUGUUGAAGACCUUCAUUCAAGAUUCCAGGCAUUCAAUACUGAGAUUAAUAGUAGUGCACCCUAUACUGUAUAUUGAAGCUCGCUAAUAAGCUGCACAGAGAAAAGACAUGCACC